rnacentral:pre_miRNA from 1 species
UCCCUGAGACCCUAACUUGUGAUGUUAAAUGGACUCUCACAAGCUAGCGACUCGGGUAUU